rnacentral:rRNA from 1 species
UACGGGGGGGGUAAGCGUUGUUCGGAAUUACUGGGCGUAAAGGGCUCGUAGGCGGCCAACUAAGUCAUACGUGAAAUCCCUCGGCUCAACUGGGGAACUGCACGGGAAACUGGAAGGCUUGAGUUCGGGAGAGGGAAGCGGAAUUCCGGGUGUAGCGGUGAAAUGCGUAGAUAUCCGGAGGAACACCGGUGGCGAAGGCGGCUUCCUGGACCGACACUGACGCUGAGGCGCGAAAGCUAGGGGAGCAAACGGG